AUACUCUAAUAGUUUAAUAAAAACAUU
rnacentral:tRNA from 1 species